CGCGGCGCAGUUGAUGGAAUUGCAACCACGCGCGGCGUGGUGGAUCUGGCGCGCGGCGUGGUUGCGUUCUGUAUAUAUAUUUUCUGCAUAAUUCUGUUUUUGGGGUUGGAAAAUUCUGCAACAUUGGACUACAUUCUGGUCUUGGAAAUUGAAGAUCGUGAUUCACACUCCAGUGGAGAGCUCCAAGCGCAUCAGAUCAUGGAUUCACAAGCCGUGGCGAUGAAGCGAGGAAGCGAACGAAGAUCGAUGAGGAGCUAAACUCNNNNNNNNNNNNNNNNNNNNNNNNNNNNNNNNNNAGGAUCUAGGAUAGUCUAGAAUGUAGGGAGAUCAUAUGUAAUCUGUUAUAUGUGUAAGAAUCUACUCAUUUCAUAAGUGAUUAAUUUGAUACAAUUCAAUGUUUAAUGCUUUACGAUCCUUCAUUAGUGUUGUAAUGAUUUUGAGUUAAGUCACGUGCGAGAGUAUUGAUUUAAUGUCUGAACUGAAUUGUAUUGAGCGCUCGAGUGUCUCCGGUCGAGAGAUUGAGGCAUAGAGCGUAGCGGACGAUUGACGCGCGUUAAGAUCAUUCGUUGUAGGUAGCUUCCGCCCGAGAGAUCGGGGGAGUAUCGACAACGAAUAGAGUGGAUUUUGACAAGAGAUUGCGAUUCACUAUUUUGUCGAUCUAGUUGUUAACACUUGAGUAGAUUCCUAUGAUAUAGUAGAUUGCAUGUGGUUGAACUAUAGACUAGGCGAUUCCGAUGAUUCUACCUCGCUUUUCCAUUACAUCAAGCAUAUUUUCUAGCAAUUCAUUACUCAACAUACCCCCAAUUUAUGUGUAUUUUCUGUAUAAUGUCUAUGAACACCAUUCGAUUAGUUUGAUCACACAAUCCCUGUGGAUCGAUAUUUUUAUUACUACGUGAUUUUCGUGCACUUGCGAAAUUUAUCAUCA
rnacentral:lncRNA from 1 species